UGGGGAAUAUUGGACAAUGGGCGAAAGCCUGAUCCAGCCAUGCCGCGUGUGUGAAGAAGGUCUUCGGAUUGUAAAGCACUUUAAGUUGGGAGGAAGGGCAGUAAGUUAAUACCUUGCUGUUUUGACGUUACCAACAGAAUAAGCACCGGCUAACUUCGUGCCAGCAGCCGCGGUAAUACGAAGGGUGCAAGCGUUAAUCGGAAUUACUGGGCGUAAAGCGCGCGUAGGUGGUUUGGUAAGAUGGAUGUGAAAUCCCCGGGCUCAACCUGGGAACUGCAUCCAUAACUGCCUGACUAGAGUACGGUAGAGGGUGGUGGAAUUUCCUGUGUAGCGGUGAAAUGCGUAGAUAUAGGAAGGAACACCAGUGGCGAAGGCGACCACCUGGACUGAUACUGACACUGAGGUGCGAAAGCGUGGGGAGCAAAC
rnacentral:rRNA from 1 species